rnacentral:misc_RNA from 1 species
GGAGACGACAAGGGAAAAAGCGCCUCUUACACACUCAACGGGAAAAGAUCGCCGGCUCGGCAGCUCAAGCUCAAGCGCGCCAUUCCCAUCGCACCCAACGCUCCAGCCGCUUGCUCACAGAAUCACAAGCACACACACACACACUCGCCGCUGUGCGUCGGACUCCGGCUCGGCCUCCCCUCCUUCCCUCUGACUCUUCCUUGCUCUGUUUCCCUCGUUACCGUUCUCACUAUCGCCACUAUACCGUGCUUGCGAGACUAUCGUGGCUUCACCCCCCCCCCAAUCCCAUUCCAGCGUACGUGUGCGUGUGUGGGUGUCUUCCUCUUCUCUCACUCUGUCACCCUAUCCCCACUGCGCACGAAGGACGUCGUCUUGGGCAACUCACCCUCCCUUCCCACAGCAUCUUCGGGCAUAUUAGGCGAGGAAAAGGAGCGCCGGAGCUGUGCGCCUUGUCGUCUCCCCUCCCCACUCCUCUUUCUCUCUCUGUUGCCGUCUCUCACCCGUGUUUAUUCUUCACACACACACACACACAUUGACAUGCUUCGCAGUAUCGUCGUCGCGGUACUGCUCCUCAGCACCGUCUGCCUGGAGCACGUGGUGCGGGCAGGCCCGGUGUUGGAGGUGGGAGUCGAUCGCGCCAUCACGUUCAACCGCCAGCUGGGCGACGGGGAUGAGUUGCUCUUCGGAAGCCGUGCGGUGCUGCUGCGCGGCGAGAUAGUGCGGUAUACGGCCGGGGCGUCUGCGUCCUACCACGGCUACACCGUGUACGUGCAGUGCUCCGAGCACCUCACGAACUUUGCUCUGCAACAGCUCGCCGCGCCCGAGCUGUCGAAGGCGGCGAAGGGUCUCGUCGUGGAGCUGUGCGACACGGACACGACGAACGAGGACGUGCUCUCGUUCUUCUUCAGCAACGCCGCCGCCAACAUCCCUGUUUAUUUUCUGCCCAACGGCACGGCCUCGAAGGAGCUGUCGCGGCUGCUGUCCGUCGCGGCUCAGCGCAGUGCGACGGAGCGGGUGGUGCUGUCCGUGGCCAAGACGCGGCGGCUGAGCGAGCUGGUGGAGAACUCGACGCUGCCCAGUGCCACUAUUGAGAGUCAUUACGUGCACAAGCCGAAGCAGACGCGCAGUAAGGCCGCCUCCGCUGCCGCCGCACCCCAGGUCCUGGUCACUGCGCACUUUGAUUCCCUUGGCGUGUCCCCUGCGAGCCGGACGAGCGGCGGCACCUCCGGCGCUGUGGUGGCGAUGGAGCUGUGGCGCCGGCUGACGUCCACACCUUAUGCUCGGCAGGAGUCUGUGGCUCCGUACGAGGUCACCGUGCUUCUCGGCAGCACGUCGCGCUUCAACUACGCUGGAACGACGUCGUGGCUAUCGCAGCACACAGAUAGGGAGCUCGAUCAGUUUAGGGUGGUUCUCUGCCUCGAUGAGCUGCUGCCGCCUCGUGAAACGAGCGAGAACGCGCCGGACCUUUAUCUGCAUGUCCAGGACGUUCUCAUGAAGCGGCAGCAUGGCCAGCAGGUCGUGGAGCAGGUCGAGGCAGCGGCAAAGUUGCUCGGCAUUUCGCUGAAGGUCGUGUCUGCCAAGACGAACUACCAGCAUUACGACCUUGAAUUUGAACAUGAGGCGUUUGCUAGCCGUCAGAUGACCGCCAUGACACUUUCUACCCACCGCGUCCACCACAACGACCAGCUUUUCCGUGAUCUGCGCCGACCCCCGGCCACAGCUGCAGAUGCAGCAAUGCUCGCGAAGCGCGCGGACCUCGUUGAAGCCAUUGUGCGCAUCGUCGCCGAGGCGGCUCCGUCCGCGGAGGGAGUGACGACAGUGUGGCCUGGCGCGGCCUCGUACAUUCAGGGGAUGCUGCAUUACGCGAGUGACUCGCAGCGCUCGCCGGUGGCGCAAAACGGUGCCGGCCUGCGGCAGUACGCCGCUACCGUAGAGCAUCACAUGCGUGCGCAGGCAGCAGCAGCGCAGCGGGCCGCUUUCACCUCCGCAUCCUCCGUCGCGACGUACCAGGAACUGCGUACGCCCGGUAUCACCCUAUUCGGCCCCUACGAGGAAACAAUGCAGGUCUUUAUGGCCAAGUCGUAUCUCUUUGAGUGUGCCGUGGCGGCCGCGGCGCUCGCGGCGCUUCUUGCCUUUCUGUACGUAGAGGUGGGGCUGACGACAGCUCUGCGCCUCUUCUCUGACUAGGCUUGUGAUUAGGGUGCCUGUGCCCUCGUGUUCGGUGUCUGCAUGCCCUCUACCGCGAGGUUAUGCAUAGCUGAGGUGCGUGCGCGGCCUUCGACCCGCUUCUCUCCGAUCGGGCACCCAUGCAGGAGAACACCACGGCAGACACGCACACAGGCACAGACACCUUGUCGCGUGAGGGAUGGCCGAAGUGAUGUGGGCGGGUUGAUGACGUUGAUGGUUUGUAAAGUGACGAAUCUCUCUAAUCGCCAACAAGGAAUAGCAAAAAACAGCACAGCUAUCAAUCAGACAGCUACGGCAGAGAGGAGGGUGAGUAGGGCCGGAGGGAGGAGAGAAGACGUAAGCACCUCGAAGAAUGCCUCCACUGCGCACCGCUCCGCCCGCCGGACGAGGUUCUGGGUGAGGGAAACCCCUUCGAGAUUCGUGACCGCUCCCGUCCUCUCUCUCUCGCGUCCAACACUCCCCACUUUGCGACUGCACCUGGUGCCGUUGAAGCUCGCGCACGCUCGAGGGCAGCGAGGCACGCGCGCAGAUAAAAGAGACGGAGAGGAAGAGGGGGUGGGGUGUUGUGAUGUUGUGCUGUGCGCGCACCCGCUGUCACCUAAGCCUACGUGUGUGUGUUUGUCUUGGAGUCUGAGAAAGCGAGAGGCACACAGACGCGCCAGCACCGCCACACAUCAGCCCUUGUCCUUGCCUUCUCUUCAAGAGUCCGAAGCGUGCCGCCUGCCCGUCCAGCAUUGUG